rnacentral:rRNA from 1 species
GACGAACGCUGGCGGCGUGCUUAACACAUGCCAGUCGAACGGAAAGGCCCAGCUUGCUGUGUGCUCGAGUGGCGAACGGGCGAAUAACACGUGGGUGAUCCGCCUCUAACUUCGGGAUAAUCUUGAGAAACUGGGUCUAAUACCAGAAAAUACAAUAGGUUAUUGUUUAUUAUGGAAAGCUUUUUCGGUUAGGGAUGAGCACGCGGCCUAUUAGCUUGUUGGUGGGGUAAUGGCCUACCAAGGCGUCGAAGGGUAGGCGGCCUGAGAGGGUGGACGGCAAAAUGGGGAGAGUGCUACGGGCGAGAGUCCUACGGGAGACAGCAGUGGGGAUUAUUGCAUAAUGGGCGCAAGCCUGAUGAAGCGACGCCGCGUUGUGGAUUAUGAACUUCGUGUGUUAAGCGUCUUUCGACAGGGACGAAGCUUUGGUGACGGUACCUUUAUAAGAAGCACCGGCUAACUCCGUG